AACGGCAGCACGGGCUUCGGCCUGGUGGCGAGUGGCGAACGGGUGAGUAAUACAUCGGAACGUACCCAGAAGUGGGGGAUAACGUAGUGAAAGUUACGCUAAUACCGCAUACGUUCUACGGAAGAAAGUGGGGGAUCGCAAGACCUCAUGCUUUUGGAGCGGCCGAUGUCUGAUUAGCUAGUUGGUGAGGUAAAGGCUCACCAAGGCGACGAUCAGUAGCUGGUCUGAGAGGACGACCAGCCACACUGGAACUGAGACACGGCCCAGACUCCUACGGGAGGCAGCAGUGGGGAAUUUUGGACAAUGGGCGCAAGCCUGAUCCAGCAAUGCCGCGUGAGUGAAGAAGGCCUUCGGGUUGUAAAGCUCUUUUGCCAGGGAAGAAACGGCAGGGGCUAAUAUCCCUUGCUAAUGACGG
rnacentral:rRNA from 1 species